GAAAUCUCCAAUGGUGAUAAAUAAACCCAACGCGCAGCUUCUGAUCUGAGACCGCCGGUGUGAUAGGUGUGAUAGGGAAGGAACCCGUGAAAUAAGACGUUACCGGUGGCAGGAAGAGGAAGAAGAGGAACUGAGAGGGAAGAGGAAGAGAGGAGAUUAGUAAGAGAGGACUGAGAGGGGAGACAGGGAAUUAAUACUGUGUAAAUAGUUUAGUCGUCAACAUGCCUUACGCCAACCAGCCUUCCUUGAACCUGAUGGAGCUGACGGAGGAAAAUAUCAAGUUUUCAAUAGAGGACACUGAUCUGAGCGUGGCCAACAGCAUCCGUCGCAUCCUGAUGGCGGAGACCCCGACCAUCGCCAUAGACUGGGUGCAGCUGGAAGAGAACUCGACAGUGCUCAGUGACGAGUUCAUCGCUCAUCGCAUCGGCCUCAUUCCCUUCACCUCGGACGAACGGAUUGAGCAGAUGCAGUACUCUAGGGACUGUUCCUGCACCGACUACUGCCCGGAGUGUUCUGUGGAGUUCACCUUGGACGUUAAGUGCCAGGAUGACCAUACCAGGCAGAUCACCACCGCUGACCUCAAAUCCUCUGACGCGCGGGUCAUCCCUGUCACCUCAAGGCACCGUGAGGACGAGGCCAGCGAGUAUGGCGAAAGUGACGACAUACUCAUCGUCAAGCUUCGGAAGGGCCAGUCGCUGCGUCUUCGUGCCUACGCUGUGAAGGGGUUCGGCAAGGAGCACGCCAAGUGGAAUCCUACCAGCAGCGUGGCCUUUGAAUACGACCCUGACAACGCUCUCCGCCACACUCUCCUGCCCAAGCCUGAGGAGUGGCCAAAGAGUGAAUAUUCUGCCCUGGAUGAGAACACACCACAGGCUCCCUUUGAUCCUGUCGGCAAACCCAACAAAUUUUUCUUCAAUGUGGAGAGUUCUGGAGCACUAAGACCUGAGAACCUGCUGCUGAUGGGCAUUGCGGUGCUGAAGAAGAAGCUGUCCGACAUCCAGAACCAGCUGACCAUGGAAGCACAGACCGACGCACUCACCAUCAACUAACACCGGAGAGCCACACACCAAGAGAAAACAAGACAAGGUUUACCGUCUGACUGAUUUGAGCCCAAUCAGAAUUUGAUCCAUCCGGCAAACCCAACAAGUAUUUUUUCAAUGUGGAGAGUUCUGGUUCCCUCAAGCCUGAGAACAUUAUCCUGAUGGGCAUUGCAGCGCUCAAGAAGAAGCUGUCUGACCUGCAGAAC
rnacentral:misc_RNA from 1 species